rnacentral:rRNA from 1 species
UGAGGCCCCAGGUCAGGCGGCAGUA